UCUGGACUUGGUUUUAUGCUAAAAUAAUUGUCUUAUGAUUCAAGUGUUUACAAACCAAGAUUGCAGUAUGCCGCUCUAUGUAAUGCUCAGCAUUAUUGCAGCAGUUGACACAAUUGCAGUUGCUGCAAACCUCUCCGUUGGCAAAGCAGUCACAGUAGCUGCCUUACCGGGCACCUGUGGCUUCCGACUUCCGUUCCCCUUGGUUGAUACUGGUCUCAGAAUACAGAGGACAAACCGCCUGCUGCAUCAAUAGAAAGUGGACAUGUUAACCUAUAUGCAGUUAAAUAGGUUGGGGGAUUGAAGUUGGAAGCCAUAGAGGGUUUGAAAACUGUGCUGAAAUGGCUUGAGACCCUGGACGUUGAUCCAGUUCAAGGUUUUCAUCUCUGCAAUUUAGUUGACUUUGCCAGGAGUCAACUGGCAUAAUGCUGCUGUCUCAUAAUGCAGCAGCAUUAUGAAACAGCGGAGGUUAUAGUUUUUCUAUUGUUAGGUUUACGAUUUG